UCAAUAAACACCAUGCAGUUCUUAGUGAAUAUAGGAGUAAUGUUUUAUAUUUCUAUGUAUUUAGCUAUUUCAUGUCAUAUGUAGUAUAUAAACCAUUGAAAGUAUAACAUAUUGUGUCAUAUAGUACAGAACUUUUUAUUUGGCAGUACUAGGUUUGUCUUUCAAAGAUAUAUUCUGGUUUUCUUUUUUUUCUGGAGAGCUUUAAAAGUAAAUUCAAUAACUUGAAGUAUGAGUAUUAAUAUAUAAUAAAAGUUAGACCAUAGAGAAGUAAGCAGAAUCGCUGUAUUAUGUCUAGGAAUUAAUGCUUCAAACAUGACAUUACCUCACUAAAACCACAUAGAUAUCUGAUUAUAUAACAUUUCUAAGUAAAGCUGGAUUUUUAGUUGUGCGUUUUGUACUUGAUUUUGUACUUGAUGGAGAAUAUGAAAGUGAUAUGAAUGUAGAAUCUACAGAUAAAGACGAUUUAAAACUCUAAGAUGUGAACUCUCACAAAUCAAGUAAAUUCUCCUGAAAAAGUAAUAAAUUACUCCUGGUAGGCAAUUAUAUUAGAUGGAAAGAGAUCUACAAUUUAUUAUCAGUAGCAGAAACAUUUUGAUCAUAGUAAAAAUGUGUAUAUAUAUAUGAUAGGAUUAUAUGGAAUAAGUAUUUAAAAUUAAAUUCAAAAUGUAGUAAAAAUCUGAAAAGAAAAGCAUAAUGCAAUAUGGCAUUCCUAACAUAGAUGUGUUUGCAGACUUGGAGCUUGACUACCCUACGUUUCUCCUACAUGACCCGUUGAGCAUUUAUAUUUUUACUUUUUUUUUUAAAAAAAAUUUGCAGUGGAGCUCAGUCUGUUGCAUAUCCUGCAUUGGAAUUCCAUGUUUUUUUUUCAAGAGGUCAUUUUACAUAUAGAAGACGUAUACAGUGUUGUGACAAAAAAAUAACUGUAAAUGGGAAAUCUGACAACUGCUUGAGCAGCCAGAUUAGCUGAAUUAACCCUGUCAGUGGGGGGCAAUAGACGGCACCUAUUGCAGGUAGACAAAGCUCAUUAAUAACAGGAUUGUCCACGUACAGAUUUUUUUAAAAUUGUUUAAAAUUUAAUAUAUUUUAUCAUUUUUUACUGUGAUCAAAACUUAAAUGCUCAACCUUUUUGGGUUUAUAAAUUAAAAAAGCAUGUAGAUGAAUUUCACUUCAGAGCUGCAAUUUGCUGCCAUUCUGCAGACGUAUUCAUGCCAGUGAUUAGUUGCUAUGCACAUAUGCUACUUCUAAAUGGCUUAUGGCGGUGUUUAGAUCAAAACAUAAGAUCAGGAAAAGAAAAAAGCAGAUCACACAGUUCUGAGACACAAUAGACUUUUUACAGUUGAUAGAUGCAUUUGAAUCCUCCUUAAGAUCCAGACAUUCCAUAUCCUCAAAAAGUGAUCUGAAAAUAUAUCUCUAGGGCUGAAUUAUUAUUUAUUAUGAUUAUUUAAAUAUGUAUAUCCAGCAAACUCUGAAAUGUUACAAUUUUAUGUUCUUUUUGUAGAAGAAUGGUUUGUGCUUUCGUAGUUUUGCUUGUUGCUUUCUAUUUUCACAGAUUACCGGUCUCCUAAAUGGAGUUGGACACAACUAACUGAAUCCUUCUACGGCAAUUUGUAUAACACCAAACAUCAUAACCGUGCACUGCAGAUAUCUUAGGCCUCCCUUUGAGUUGAGUCCCCAAAAUCAUUAUACAGGACAAACAACAGGGCAACCAUUGACCGAAAAAAGAUAAUAAGGACCAAACUUACCAUAAAGAUCAGCAAUGCCAAAAGGGAUCUAAAGAAAAACUAUGUUUCACAUGAUUUUUAGUUCUUGAAGUUCUAUCUUUUCUAUAUAGUCUUUACAAACAUGACAACUUAUUGAUUUAUUUAUAUUUUGUAAUCCUAAUUAUUCACUUUUAGAGUUAAACAACAGAAUUACAUGAAGAUACUUUGGGUGCAUAUAUGUGGAAUUGUUAAUGUUAAUGUUGUUAAAAUUGUUUAAAUUUGAUUUAUAAAAAUAAAGUAUAAAAAAUA